UACGGGGGGGGGCAAGCGUUGUUCGGAAUUACUGGGCGUAACGGGCUCGUAGGCGGCCAACUAAGUCAGACGUGAAAUCCCUCGGCUUAACCGGGGAACUGCAUCUGAUACUGGAUGGCUUGAGUUCGGGAGAGGGAUGCGGAAUUCCAGGUGUAGCGGUGAAAUGCGUAGAUAUCUGGAGGAACACCGGUGGCGAAGGCGGCAUCCUGGACCGACACUGACGCUGAGGAGCGAAAGCCAGGGGAGCAAACGGG
rnacentral:rRNA from 1 species